rnacentral:rRNA from 1 species
UGCGCAGGCGGGCUUGUAAGUCAGUGGUGGAAUACUGCCGCUUAACGGUAGAACUGCCAUUGAUACUGCAAGUCUUGAAUAUGGUUGAGGUAGGCGGAAUGUGUUGUGUAGCGGUGAAAUGCAUAGAUAUGACACAGAACGCCGAUUGCGAAGGCAGCUUACUAAGCCAUUAUUGACGCUGAGGCACGAAAGCGUGGGGAGCGAACAGGAUUAGAUACCCUGGUAGUCC